rnacentral:lncRNA from 1 species
GGGGAUUUGAAGAGAGAAGCUGCCUGAGUAAACUGCUUUAAGAAGAACCGGUGGUUGCGUUUUCCUUGCUGGUCGAGUUGGAUGCAACAAAUGGUGCUGAAACCCGGGACCGACUUCCCCACCAAAGAGGUUCAGAACUUUCUGCAGUCAGGGUCUGUCGACAGGAUGAGUACGAGAGAAGAGUCAGAAGACUUCAGAAAGAAAGGUGUGGCAGAAGAAAGAGGAGACUGGGAAAUCACAUCUCAAUCAGGAACACAAAGCAGAUGUCACAAACUAGAAACGAUUGAUUUAGCUAUCCAUCGAAUUGAACAACCCAUUAUGGAUUUAAUGUUUGGCUUCUCCACUUCUACAAAAACAGCUGUUGAAAUUCUCAUAGGGUUUUUAUUGAAUCUGUAGGUCACUUAGGUAAUAUUGUCACAUUUAUGAUAUUAAUUCCUUUCAUCUAUGAGCACAGCAUAUCUUUUCAUUUGUGUAACCCAUAUCAUAGCUUCUUUCAGUGACUUUUUGUACUUUUUAGUGUACAAAUAACUCCCUUUAUUGAUUAUAAUUUUUCUUAGCAUCUUAUUGUUUUGGAUAUCAUAAUGAGUAAUAUUACUUUAUUACUUUUCUUUUAAGAAUGUUGGCUCUGCUGUAUAAUAUCACAAAUGAUCUGAGUAUGGAUUUCAUUUUGUGGUUUUGAAAAAUUCAUUGAUUGCUGCUAGUAGCUUUUUCAUUGAUUACCUGGAAUAGAGAAUCAUGUUAUCUGUGAACGGAGAUCAUUUACUGUUUCCUUCCUGAUGUAGAUAUCUUUUUUCCCCCUUUUUCUUGCCUCAUUAAUCUUAGUAGAUGUACCUGUACAAUAUUGAAUACCAGUGAUGAAAUUGGAGAUCUUUGUCUCACACUUGAUUUUAGCUGGAAAGAUUUCAGUCUCUUACUGCUGAGCAGGGUGUUAAUUGUGAGUGCACUGCUGGUUUUGAUACACAGUGUGGGGGCUGUAGCACAUUUUCAGGACUUUUCAUAAUUGAAAAUGUAUCUUCACGUUUUUCAUUCUUCUUGCUCCAAAUUUAAGGGACUCAACCUGCAUAAGUAAUUCUGACUAUAUGUAUCAGUUCCAAUUUAACCCUUAAAGCAGGAAAAAUGACUGACAGAUGAGUCUGUAACAGAAUUUCACGAGGACUCAGGUGAGUCCCUGAAUACUCUUAGUGUUCAUACAUGAUGAUAUUUGAAACUACAAGUAUUCAAGAAUACCAGAUUAUUCUUUAAUUUAUUUAUAUUUUCAUUUUUAUUGGUUAUUUUACUUAUUUAUAUUUCAAAUGUUAUUCCCCUUCCCAGUUACCCCUAAACAAGCUCCACAAGUCUAUUACGAUCUUGUAAAGUCAUCAUGGGAGACACACAUUUAUCCUUCUCCCGCCCCACUGCCUCUAUGCUCUCCCACCUGCCCACCCACUCCUGCCUCAGUGCCCUAGCAUUACCCUACCCUGGAUCAUCAAGACUCCAUAGAACCAAGGGGCUCCCCUUCCAAUGAUGGCAGAGCCAUGUGUCCUUCCAUGUGUACUCUCUAGUUGAUGGUUUAGGCCUGGGAGCUUUGGGAUGUCUAGUUGGAAUACCAGAUUAUUUACAGAAUAUACUUUCACAUUUUCUUUCUUCCUUCCUUCCUUUCUUCCUUCCUUCCUUUCUUCCUUUCUUCCUUUCCUUCUUUCUUUCUUUCUUUCUUUCUUUCUUUCUUUCUUUCUUUCUUUCUUUCUUUCUUCCUGUUUGUUUUUGAGACAGGGUUUCUCUGUGUAGCCUGGUCUACAGUGUGGAAGUCACUCUGUAGACCAGACUGGCCUCGAACUCAGAAAUCCACCUGCCUCUGCCUCCUAAGUGCUGAGAUUAAAGGCAUGUGCCACCACCACCUGGCCACAUUUUUAUUUCACAUAGAAGAUCUUUUAAGAUAAUGUUUAUGAUGAUUCAUUUCCAUUGUCAACUUGAUUGAAUUAAGAGCCACCCAGAGUAUUAGGGAAACUGUGGGAAGCCGCCCCCACAUUCGCCGUUACAAGAUGGCGCUGACAGCUGUGUUCUAAGUGGUAAACAAAUAAUCUGCGCAUGUGCCAAGGGUAGUUCUCCACCCCAUGUGCUCUGCCUUCCCCGUGACGACAACUCGGCCAUGGGCUGCAGCCAAUCAGGGAGUGAUACGUCCUAGGCGAAGGAUAACUCUCCUUAAGAGGGACGGGGUUUCGUUUUUGCUUUUGGGGGGCUCUUGCACUCUGGCUCCUGAAGAUGUAAGCAAUAAAGUUUUGCCGC